UACGGGGGGAGCAAGCGUUGUCCGGAUUUACUGGGCGUAAAGAGCGCGCAGGCGGUCGUUCAAGUCGAGUGUGAAAGCCCCCGGCUCAACUGGGGAGGGUCACUCGAUACUGAUCGACUUGAAGGCGGGAGAGGGAAGCGGAAUUCCCGGUGUAGGUGGUGAAAUGCGUAGAUAUCGGGAGGGAACACCAGUUGGCGAAGGCGGCUUUCUGGCCCGUU
rnacentral:rRNA from 1 species